CUAAUAUACGGAGUUAACAAGUUUUAUGAUAGCAGAACACUUUGGAAAAAGUGACCAUAGGAAGUGAUAGUCUUGUAUGCGAAAUCAUGAAACCUCUAUAGUGUAUCCUGAGUACGGCGGGACACGAGAAAUCUUGUCGGAAUCUGUGGGGACCAUCCCAUAAGGCUAAAUACUCUCUAAUGACCGAUAGUGAACAAGUACCGUGAGGGAAAGGUGAAAAGAACCCCGGGAGGGGAGUGAAAUAGAGAAUCUGAAACCAUAUGCUUACAAAAAGUUCGAGCCCAUUAACGGGUGAGAGCGUGCCUUUUGCAGAAUGAGCCGGCGAGUUAUGGUAUUGUGCAAGGUUAAGUGGAAAACACGGAGCCGAAGCGAAAGCAAGUCUUAAUAGGGCGAUUUAGUACAAUGCUGUAGACCCGAAACCGAGUGAUCUAGCCAUGAGCAGGUUGAAGUUGGGGUAAUACCCAAUGGAGGACCGAACCAGGGUACUAUGUAACGUGCUUGGAUGACUUGUGGCUAGCGGUGAAAUUCCAAUCGAACUCGGAUAUAGCUGGUUCUCCCCGAAAUAGGUUUAGGCCUAGCCUUGAAUUAUUUCAUCCUGGAGGUAGAGCACUGAAUGUGGAAUGGCCGCGUCUAGCGGUACUGACUGCAAUCAACCUCCGAAUGCCAGGAAUUGUAGAUUCAGGAGUCAGUGUAUGAGGUGAUAACGUCCAUACGCGAGAGGAAAACAAUCCAGACCAUCAACUAAGGUCCCUAAAUAUAUGUUAAGUGGGAAAGGAUGUAGAGACGCACGAACAGCUAGGAGGUUGGCUUAGAAGCAGCCAUCCUUUAAAGAGUGCGUAAUAGCUCACUAGUCGAGUAUCUCUGCGCCGAAAAUGUACCGGGGCUAAACAUAUUACCGAAGUUAUGGAUUUAUAAUUUAUUAUAAAUGGUAGGGGAGCGUUCUAAGGGCGCUGAAGGUAGAUCGUGAGGACUACUGGAGCGCUUAGAAGUGAGAAUGCCGGUGUGAGUAACGUAAGGUAGGUGAGAAUCCUACCCACUAUUUGACCAAGGUUUCCAGGGUCAAGUUCGUCUUCCCUGGGUUAGUCGGGACCUAAGGCGAGGCUGAAAAGCGUAGUCGAUGGACAACAGGUUUAUAUUCCUGUACUGCUUAUAGGACUGAUGGAGUGACGGAGAAAGCUAGAAAGAGCCAGUUAUUGGAUUCUGGUCUAAGCGUUUAGGUUGAUGCACAGGAAAAUCCGUGAUAUCGAUAAGACUGAAGCGUGAUGGCGACGUGGUCUACGGACCGCUAAGUCUUUUGAAGCUAUGCUUCCAAGAAAAACUUCUAAAGAUAUGUUAUAAGUACCCGUACCUAGAACCAACACAGGUGGUCAAGGAGAGAAUCCUAAGGUGAGCGAGAGAACUAUGGUUAAGGAACUCGGCAAAAUUACCCCGUAACUUCGGAAUAAGGGGAGGUUUCUUCGGAAACCCGCAGUGAAUAGGUCCAGGCAACUGUUUACCAAAAACACAGGUCUCUGCUAAAGCGUAAGCUGAUGUAUAGGGGCUGACGCCUGCCCAGUGCUGGAAGGUUAAGAUGAUUUGUUAGGUGGACGAAAGUCGAUAACACCGAAGCUUUGAUUUGAAGCCCCAGUGAACGGCGGCGAUAACUAUAAUCGUCCAAAGGUAGCGAAAUUCCUUGUCAGGUAAGUUCUGACCCGCACGAAAGGCGUAAUGAUCUGGAUACUGUCUCAACCAUAGACUCGGUGAAAUCUUAAUACCUGUGAAAAUGCAGGUUACCCGCGACAGG
rnacentral:rRNA from 1 species